rnacentral:tRNA from 1 species
AGCCCUGUAGUGCGUAGCAUGCAAGAUUGCAAAUCUUGAGGAGCAGAAGCCCUCUGCCGGGGCUU